CCAACUCUUCCCUAUAAUUCAAAUCAAAGUUCUGUCCUUGAGAAUCCACGUAGCUUCACACACAAUAUAUAUAGUUUCUCUUUUCAAAGGUAGUGCACAUGGGAAGACACUCUUGCUGCUACAAGCAGAAGCUCCGUAAGGGCCUCUGGUCUCCAGAGGAAGAUGAGAAGCUUUUGAAUUACAUCACCAAGCAUGGACAUGGAUGUUGGAGCUCGGUUCCAAAACUAGCUGGUUUGCAACGGUGUGGGAAGAGCUGCAGAUUAAGGUGGAUAAAUUAUCUGAGGCCUGAUUUGAAGAGAGGAGCAUUCUCACAACAAGAAGAGAACUCGAUCAUUGAACUUCACGCUGUCCUUGGCAACAGGUGGUCUCAGAUUGCAGCUCAGUUACCGGGAAGAACUGACAAUGAGAUAAAAAAUCUAUGGAAUUCAUGCCUCAAGAAGAAGCUAAGGCAAAAAGGUAUUGACCCAAACACCCACCAACCCCUCUCUGAGGUUGAGAACGACCGGGAAAACCCACUCAUAGCUGACAAAAGCAACCAAAAAACCUCACUGGGAUCCAAUGAGGUGAGUGUUGUUGAGGCAGCAAAACCAAACCCAAUAACCACUUCAAUGCCUACAGAGAGAUAUUCCCUUGAAGUUUCCCCAAGCUCCAAGAUCAACAACUGCAGCAGCACCCUAGAUAGGUUUGGUACCUGUCAUGACAACUCCAUCCCUAGUUGCAAACCUUCUGAUAUGGUAGGAAUGGGGUAUUUCUCUUACCAGCAUCUGAACUAUGGAUCAACCAUGGGACUCACUGCAAAUCCCAACACCCAACUUUGCUUCAUACCAAGUUCCACUUCUUCCCAAAUGAUGUCAUCAGAGCUCAAUUCUAGCAGCAUGCUCCAUUCAGUGUACCCAAAGCCCACUGUUAGCCUUCAGUCCAAUGAUCCUUCUUCCAUAUCUUCUGGGGACAUUGAUGGGGUUCAGAACUGGGAAGCUCAAGCAAGUACCUUCAGUACUAACAACGCAACCAAAAGCAAUGGAAGCAGUAGCUGCAGCAUUCAACUACAAAGCAGCACUAACUUCCUUGAUAGCACCGCCCUAACCUGGGGGAUGCAGCAGGCAGAAUCUGCAAAGGCUGAGAAAGAUGCUCAUUCUUCUCAUGUACCCUUACAAGCUGAGCAAGAAGACAUUAAAUGGUGUGAGUAUCUCAACACCCCCUUUUUUCUAGGAAACACAGUGCAGCAUCAAACCACUCACUCUAUCUACAAUGAUGAGGUCAAGCCAGAAACAGGCUUUAUUGCAGAGGAAUCAAGUACUAGUUGGCACCAUAGCCAGCAUUUUCAGCCUUCAGAUAUAUAUACCAAAGAUCUGCAGAGAUUUUCAGUGGCUUUUGGACAAACACUGUAGCGUACCAGUACUUAACACGUGGGAACUUCAAACCAAGCGAGAGAGAGAGAGAGAGAGAGGCAAGGCAAGAAUGCCGACAUUUCCAAUGUGAAAUAGGUCAGAUAUUUGUCGUGAGUUCUGACCACAGUUGCAUUUAAAGUGAUGGAGCGUGCUAGUGAGUGUGACACAAUUUGUAUGUCCGGGAUGUGAUGCUUUUCAAAUUGAGAAUCCAGUGAAGUUGUUUUGUGUGUCAAAGG